GGCACACCAAGAACACGUGAACUUCAAACUUUCACAAAAAUACACAAACCGCAUAUGGUUGGAAAGGUCUCUUAACGUAGAAUCCAAAUAUCAUCCUAAUUUCACCUAAAUGUUCCUAAAUCUCAUGGAUCGAAGGAGUUAGGGUUUGGUUUCAUACUUUCAAAUCAAGAUUUCGUCCUCUACAGUUAUCCAUUUGCAAAAC
rnacentral:lncRNA from 1 species